rnacentral:rRNA from 1 species
GAUGAACGCUGACAGAAUGCUUAACACAUGCAAGUCUACUUGAAUUUGGGUUUUUUAACUUAGAUUUGGGUGGCGGACGGGUGAGUAACGCGUAAAGCACUUGCCUCACAGCUAGGGACAACAUUUGGAAACGAAUGCUAAUACCUGAUAUUAUGACUAUAAGGCAUCUUAGAAUUAUGAAAGCUAUAUGCGCUGUGAGAGAUCUUUGCGUCCCAUUAGCUAGUUGGAGAGGUAACGGCUCACCAAGGCGAUGAUGGGUAGCCGGCCUGAGAGGGUGAACGGCCACAAGGGGACUGAGACACGGCCCGUACGCCUACGGGAGGCAGCAGUGGGGAAUAUUGGACAAUGGACCAAGAGUCUGAUCCAGCAAUUCUGUGUGCACGAUGACGUUUUUCGGAAUGUAAAGUGCUUUCAGUUGGGAAGAAAAAAAUGACGGUACCAACAGAAGAAGUGACGGCUAAAUACGUG